rnacentral:rRNA from 1 species
CCUACGGGCGGCUGCAGUGAGGAAUAUUGGUCAAUGGGCGAGAGCCUGAACCAGCCAAGUCGCGUGAGGGAUGACGGUCCUAUGGAUUGUAAACCUCUUUUGUCGGGGAACAAAGGCGUCCACGUGUGGACUGAUGAGUGUACCCGAAGAAAAAGCAUCGGCUAACUCCGUGCCAGCAGCCGCGGUAAUACGGAGGAUGCGAGGGUUAUCCGGAUUUAUUGGGUUUAAAGGGUGCGUGGGCGGACAGUCAAGUCAGCGGUAAAAAUGCGGUGCUAAACGCCGUACAGCCGUUGAAACUGGCAGUCUUGAGGGGGCGAGAGGGAUGCGGAAUGCGAGGUGGAGCGGUGAAAUGCAUAGAGAUCACGCAGAACUCCGAUUGCGAAGGCAGCAUACCGGCGCCCUACUGACGCUGAGGCACGAAAGCGUGGGUAUCGAACAGGAUUAGAUACCCGGGUAGUC